UGCAAGCAAAUUCCAUCGACCCUCGCCAUCACGAGCAAUGUAAUGAACAAGGAGAUUGUCUUCUUCGAGAGUCCAUGGGCCUCUCCUAAGUUGAUCAGAAUGAUCAUCAUCACUAGAGCUGCUUAAACUCUUCUUCUUGCUUAAAGAAGAUGAUGACAGAGACGACGACAUAGCCACCACUGUCAUGGAGCAGGUUGAAGCAAUAAACGAGUAGAGGCAGAGGCAGAGGCAAAGGCAGAGCAGUCCAACACGAUAUAUAUGCGGCAGAUUUGGAAUGGGUUUCAGCUUCAAUUGGUAGUAGCAACUUUUCAAAUGAGUAGCUUUUAGAAGUAGACAGAAUGGAGCUUCCACUGAACUUCCCUAAAGUCUAGUUCUUAAUAAACAAUGGAAAUCUUGUAGAAUUGGUGAUGAGAUGAUCUCUCUCUUGGUCUCU
rnacentral:misc_RNA from 1 species